AUUGAACGCUGGCGGCAGGCCUAACACAUGCAAGUCGAACGAGUGGCGGACGGGUGAGUAAUGUCUGGGAAACUGCCUGAUGGAGGGGGAUAACUACUGGAAACGGUAGCUAAUACCGCAUACCAGACGAUGUGCCCAGAUGGGAUUAGCUCGUGGGUGGGGUAACGGCUGACCUAGGCGACGAUCCCUAGCUGGUCUGAGAGGAUGACCAGCCACACUGGAACUGUGACACGGUCCAGAUGCCUACGGGAGGCAGCAGUGGGGAAUAUUGCACAAUGGGCGCAAGCCUGAUGCAGCCAUGCCGCGUGUGGGAAGAAGGCCUUAGGGUUGUAAAGCACUGUCAGCGGGGAGGCGUUACCCGCAGAAGAAGCACCGGCUAACUCCGUGCCAGCAGCCGCGGUAAUUC
rnacentral:rRNA from 1 species